AGAUCUGAAAGCACUGAAAAUGAUUAGAUGGAUGAUUUAUCCCAUAAACACAAAAGGGUUGGUCCUAGCCUUAUAAUUAGUUAGAGGCAAAAUUACACAUGCAAAAAUCCGUAAACCAGUGUCAAAUCCCCUAACACUUGACUACAAAACCUAGGGAGAGGGCAUCAAGUACAUACAAAUAGUUUAAGAUGUCUUGCCUAGCCACGCCCCCAGAAGACUCAGCAGUGAUAAAAAUUAAGCAACAAACGAAAGUUUGACUAAGUUAUACCUCUCAA